AAUGGGCUGCUUGGUUCGUGAGCUUAACGUAUUGCCCCGGGACUAUAAUUUUUAUUAUUAGGAAACCGUCCCUGUCUGAAUCUAUUAUACAGAUAUAUGGAUUCCACCUUACAUACAGGUUCUUUGAGGAUCUUAGGCAACGACCGAAGUGGUUCAUUU
rnacentral:other from 1 species